rnacentral:rRNA from 1 species
AUACGGAGGGUGCAAGCGUUACCCGGAAUCACUGGGCGUAAAGCGCGCGCAGGCGGGCUGAUAAGUUGGAUGUGAAAGCCUACGGCUCAACCGUAGAACUGCAUCCAAAACUGUCAGUCUAGAGUCUGGGAGGGGAAGAUGGAAUUAGUUGUGUAGGGGUAAAAUCCGUAGAGAUAACUAGGAAUACCAAAAGCGAAGGCGAUCUUCUGGAACAGUACUGACGCUGAGGCGCGAAAGCGUGGGGAGCAAACGGGAUUAGAAACCCCAGUAGUCC